CCAGCUAAGGUCCCAAAAUAUAUGUUAAGUGGAAAAGGAUGUGGCGUUGCCCAGACAACUAGGAUGUUGGCUUAGAAGCAGCCAUCAUUUAAAGAGUGCGUAAUAGCUCACUAGUCGAGUGACACUGCGCCGAAAAUGUACCGGGGCUAAACAUAUUACCGAAGCUGUGGAUUGUCCUUUGGACAAUGGUAGGAGAGCGUUCUAAGGGCGUUGAAGCAUGAUCGUAAGGACAUGUGGAGCGCUUAGAAGUGAGAAUGCCGGUGUGAGUAGCGAAAGACGGGUGAGAAUCCCGUCCACCGAUUGACUAAGGUUUCCAGAGGAAGGCUCGUCCGCUCUGGGUUAGUCGGGUCCUAAGCUGAGGCCGACAGGCGUAGGCGAUGGAUAACAGGUUGAUAUUCCUGUACCACCUAUAAUCGUUUUAAUCGAUGGGGGGACGCAGUAGGAUAGGCGAAGCGUG
rnacentral:rRNA from 1 species